rnacentral:rRNA from 1 species
CGUAGGGUGCGAGCGUUAAUCGGAAUUACUGGGCGUAAAGCGUGCGCAGGCGGUUUUGUAAGACAGGCGUGAAAUCCCCGGGCUCAACCUGGGAACUGCGCUUGUGACUGCAAGGCUAGAGUACGGCAGAGGGGGGUGGAGUUCCACGUGUAGCAGUGAAAUGCGUAGAGAUGUGGAGGAACACCAAUGGCGAAGGCAGCCCCCUGGGUCGAUACUGACGCUCAUGCACGAAAGCGUGGGUAGCAAACAGGAUUAGAUACCCUGGUAGUCCACGCCCUAAACGAUGUCAACUAGGUGUUGGGUGGGUAAAACCAUUUAGUACCGGAGCUAACGCGUGAAGUUGACCGCCUGGGGAGUACGGCCGCAAGGUUA